ensembl:lncRNA
CGCAGGCGCAUUAAGAGCCUUUAAGCGACCUCCUCCUACGCGCCGCCAGUAGGGGGCGCCGCAGCAACACUGCGCAGGCGUCACUGGGAAGCCGGGGAAACUAGAGGUAGAGUUCCACAGUACGUUUCUCUAUACCUGCGGUAAUUGUGGAGAACCCCGUCUUUUAAAUCAAGUGAUAAUCCUUAUCACUGAUAAACUUUAAUCCUUUUCUGGUUAAACAGGUGAAACGUGAGAGAUAAUAAAAUCCAUCCAGGGAAUGUGAGAAGGUCAAAAGUGAAAGGUGAAAGUUCACUACAUAGCCUCUCUCAUGCACAUUGUCACCAGGAAAGGAAAGGUCGGCAAAUGUAAUUGGAAAGAACUACAUGAAGGUUCCAGGAAUAAAUCCAAGUCUUCCAGUUUGGCAGGAACCUUUACCUGCUGAGCCAUCUUGCUGCCUCUCCUCUAAGGAAAAAUUAUUAUUCUUAAUUGUGGACAUGUGUGAGGAUUCACAUGCGAGUGCAUUAACUAUGGGCCAUCCCCCUGGGAUAGGAGUUGCACGUGGUUGUGAAACAUUCAGUGUGAGUACUGAGCAACAAGUGCUCUAAACUGCUGAGCCUUUUCUCCAGCCCUUUAAAAGAAUGGGUGCAGAGGAAAUGAAAGAAAGGGGGAAGAAAAAAUUAAAGAGGGGGUUAUCACUGUAGUCACUUCCGUUAAAAGAAUAAAGCAGGGCUGGAGAGAUGGCUCAGCGAUUAAGAGCACCCGACUACUCUUCCAGAGGUCCUGAGUUCAAUUCCCAGCAACCACAUGGUGGCUCACAACCAUCUAUAAAGAGAUCCGAUGCCCUCUUCUGGUGUAUCUGAAGACAGCUACAGUGUGCUCAUAUGC